rnacentral:sRNA from 1 species
AGGGUUGCACUGGAGAGACCCUGCGUAGAAUUGGAAUGAAGACCAACACCAGACUUGGGAAUGGUGUGAUUCCCAUCUGGUCCAUCCACGACUGGUGAUGAGAGUGAGAUGACAUUGGGGGUUUUGGUUUCCACAAAACCCUCUUCCAAAUAAGCAACACACAAAUAAUGAUCAACUGAUUGAUAUGAGUAUCAGGUUGUGUAACGUUAUAUUACUGUUCUGUCCGUUUCGGUCGGUGUGUCACCGUCAGCUCUGAUAGAGAGCAAUGAUUGAGCUGAAGACAAGCCGGGUGAGGAUAGCAAAUGGAUUCUGAGUUCUUUGGGUGAUGGGUGGUAAUGAAAAGCUGUUGCGAUAGUCUGUUGAAUCAGCGGUGGUGGUCAGAUAUGGAAUAAAGAGAGCUUCCUCGGUUGAUCUAAGCAAUGUUAAGGUUUCAUGAGAACUGAGAGUGAAAAGGAUCAGUGCCAUUCCGCGCAACGAAAGGAGGCCGACUUAAGGGGAACAUGGUCCCAGAGACCUGGAAACUUCAGAUGGCUAGAGAUGCUCCUUGUCUGGAGGUUGCUGGAGCUAUUGGUACAGUGCCUAUACAGCCGCUUUUGAUCAAAACCCUUUCACUCGUCUCUGGAAGAAAUAGGCCAGCAACUGAUUUUUCACUCAUAACUGUACAGAUCUGUAAUAGAUCCAUAGAUAAUAAAAA